GAACUUCUUCAUCAACACAGGAUGGGGAAAACAUCCUUGUCAUUUUAUCCAUUACCUAAAGUUAUCAUCUGAACUACUGCCACUGUGAUGGAAGAGACCAGGACUCGGGGAUCAGUGCACUGUUCUGCGGUUCCUCAGUGACUAGAAUUAAGUGCAAAAGGUGCUCCCUCAUGAACCUAUUGCC
rnacentral:lncRNA from 1 species